GGCCCCGUAGCUAAGCUGGUAGAGCGUGCGCUGUGCAAAAGCGUAGGCGGUGUCCGUGUGUGGGUUCGAAUCCCACCCAAGCUA
rnacentral:tRNA from 1 species